rnacentral:rRNA from 1 species
GGUUGAUCCUGCCAGUAGUCAUAUGCUUGUCUUAAAGAUUAAGCCAUGCAUGUCUAAGUUUAAGCGCCAACACGGCGAGACUGCGAAUGGCUCAUUAAAUCAGUCAUAGUCCACACGGUGUUGCCUACUACAUGGAUAACCGUAGUAAUUCUAGAGCUAAUACAUGCCGGAAGGCCCCCGGGCCCGCCCGGGGGUGCGCUUAUUAGGUCACGGACCGGCGGCCGGGGCAACCCGGUCACUCGGCGAGUCGGAAUAAGCCCAGCGGAUCGCACGGCCCCGAGCCGGCGACGCA